GCGGGGCCGGCGCGAGCUCCCGGCGCGCUCCGCUGCACGACGGGACUUGUAGUCCUCCAGUAUCGUCGUGGGCGGGGCCGCCCCGGAGGCGGGACGGGAAAGCUCCUGCGCGACUCUUUAGCGGCAACUUAAGAUCAGCAACGAGAGCUUUUGUAAAUUCCCCUGUCUUUCCGCACCACUCUUGUUCUCGCAGCCAGUAUUGAGAAGUAAGCGAUAGAGAACUGAUACCGGUCCUGAUAAACAGUUGAAUAGAUGGCGUCGGGAGCUACCUCUUCCUGCUCAUUUCCUGCCAAUCUUAGUGUUUGAUCCCUGGCUUAAGUUAUUUCUUCUGCCUGGAUUGCUGUCCGGCCUUGUUUGCUGAGCUCAUCCUUCAAGAUGAGUUGCAGAUCACCUCUUCUGGGAGCGUCCAUAGGUCCACAGGUUAACAUUGUCCUCUCAUUAUCUAUUUCAUUGUUGGAUCUGAAGUCUCCGCAAAUCACGCUGUGGGAUCUGUGGCUAUGCUCUGUACACCGUGGACGUGACUACAAUGAUAAGCUGGGGUCAGCAGGGUUUCAGACAGAUGAGGCCGAUCACACAGGAAGGGGAACGUCCAGGCAAAUGGUUUCGAUCUUCCGCCAAACCCAGCAGCCUCUGAAAGAUACAUCCCAG
rnacentral:lncRNA from 13 species